UCUAGACAAGUCUUAAGGAGAACUUCCCUUUUGCUUCUUGUCCAUACAACUGAAAUUGUAUAAAUAGAUGGUAGUAUUUGCAAAUAGAAACAAGUGCACAUUGCAUCCAAUCAAUUGAUUGUAACUUAACAUAUACACUUUUGUCCCACAUUUUUAUCUUUUCUUGGCCUUUGUUUUUCAUCUUUCAAGAUGCAAAAGCAAGAAAACCAAGUAAACCAACAUCCUCCAGGCUAUCCCGCCGAAUUUACUCCAAAUAAGAACAAGAAGAAGAUGAAGGGCCGGCCAAGAGGAGAAAGAGGGUUCCUGGAAGGAUGCCUCUUUGCACUAUGCUGCUGCUGGCUAUGUGAAGCUUGUUUUGACUAAACGUUUGGAAUAUAACUAAUCUAAAGGAGUCAACUGGUGUUGGUUUAUUCAACUAACUAAUGAUGCAAUAUAUAUGUACUCCUAUGUGACACUUUAUCAUGUAAACCAAAUAUGUUUUUAGGGUCUUUAUAUU